AAAUUUGUUAGGAAAUCGAUUGUUAGGAAAACAUAGAUUUGGUGUAGUGAAAUUUUAUAAAUCAAAUAACCCUCAUAUAUGUCUAUGUAUUUGUUGUUGCCGCAAUCAGAAACCCUAACUCUCUGUAAAUAUCUGUAAAAACAGUAAAAUCCUUCAUGGUCGACCAACAUCCCCUUUUGUUCAUCAAUAACUUCCAAAACCCAAUCUUCGAUUUUUUCCAUCGCAAUCAGAAACCCUAACUCUCUAUUUCGAAAUAUCUUUUAAGAGGUUAAACAAUCGAAGAUGUGGACAAAGUAUGAUAUAGGUGUGAAUACUUUCUCACCUGAGGGGAGAUGUUUUCUGGUUGAGUAUGCGAUUGAAGCUAUUAAGCUUGGGUCAACUGAAAUUGAGAGCGUAUCACUUCACAGUUGAUGAUAUUACACAGACCCGUCUGGCACAUUUUUGAUGCAAAUGCAAUCGGAUCAGGUUCUGAGGGAGCAGACAGCUCUGCAAGAGCAAUUCAACAAGAUCUUCGGAACCAAUAAUUGGUGAAGUAGGCUUGUGGGUUCAAAGGUCUUGUAGAUGGUGGCAGUAGUUUACUACCUUCAGGACAAACAUUUUCUUAGGGAUGAUCUACAAUACACUGGGGCUGGACUUUGAAUUUUGCUUCAGUCGAGCUGCUAAUAUAGGUAGUUUAGAUUUGAAGCAAGUAGAGAGACAAACACAGGUUUAAGAGGAGGCUUCAUUGAAGAAAGUUGAAUUAGCAUCCAAGAGAGUUGCAUCUGCAUAUCUGUAACGAAAAGGAGGGAGAAGUCCAAAAAAAUUGGAAAGCGAAAAGUUUUGCAAGGUUAUGAGCAUACUGCUGUGGUCGCUUUGGCCUCAUGUCAUGCUUGGUUUUGUUUUUCCUUCAUUUUUCACAUUUCAUCAGAACUUGGGUUAACUAACAUCUCAACGAUUUAUCUUUGUGCAGUCUGCAAAGUGAUCCAUACUAUUGGUCUGGUCUGCAUGACUGUACAUCCUCUUGCUCAAAUGUAGUUGUAGUACAUAGUCAAAUUAUGGGGUUGAUGCUCAAACUGAUUUUGUAAUUGAUUGCGUUAGGCCUUGGAUUGUAAUUGUUGAAAAUGCAGUUUUAGCAUAGGGAUGAUAGUGAAAGAUGAUUUAUGUCCCUUCUUCUUAAAUAUUGCUCUAUUUAAGUGUUAUACGCAUGGGUAACAAACUAAUCUGCCUAAAUGUAGGAUUCAUCUGGUGUAUGGUUCCGCAGCAUGCUGAUCCAAACCAGUGGCAUGCUGCAACAUAUACAAAUACAAUGGAGUUUAUGAAACCUAUGCAUAUGUUUCAGCUUCUCAAGAUCCUAACAUGUAUUCUUACCAAGGCUAUGGUGGUCCUGGAUGAUCAACAUCACCAACAACAGAUGAACUAUGACUUGUAGUCCCUAAGCAGUUGAUGUGCUGAGGAAACCUAAUGUUCGUAUUACUUCAACAAAGGCUAUUAGCACUGGAGGGGUAUGUAUAACUAUCCCAUGAGAUAUUUUCAGCUUCAGUUAGUGAAACAUUUAUUACUAAGUUUGAUAAUUUACUCUGAUUAUUUGGUACUUAUCUACUAGGUUCAUAGAUCCAGCCUUCCUCGCUUACAUUUUCUUGUUAGAUACCCUUGGACGGCAUCUCAUUCUUUCAUAUGGAGUGCAAUUAGCCGUGGGAUACUGAUUCAUAUGCAUGAAGUUUCAUAGUUUUCUUAAAAUUACUCUCAUUAUGAGCUCGAAAAUUUUGAUCUUUGCGAUCCAUUACCCUUCCUGCAACUCAAAGUAGUCUAAGGUUUAUAAUUUGGUCCAGGAUCUUAUAGGUCAUGUUUUUUUUUAUUCUUUUAUAUUUGUGUAAAAUUAAAGUACUAUAUAAUGUAUGGGAAUACCAUUUGGUGAUCUUAGGUAACUAUUGAAGUAGUAGGAAGGGAUGGGAAUCCUGAAAAUCCCACCAGUUAUUUCUCACAUGUUCUGUUUUAGGUUCAAAGGUCUUGUAACUGAUGGAAGUAGAUUACUACCUUUGGGACAAGCAGUGAGAUAAGUUUUGUUAGAAUCCAGUGUGUGCUCAGGGAUAUGUUAUACUUGACAGAUAUGGGUCCAAAGCAAAGAACCAAACACAUGUAUUUGCUAUUUGUGAGGCGGUUCCAAAGAAGAAAGUUGAUUCAGCAGCUCAGUGUAUACUAGGGUACUCAGACUUGCACUUAUGUUUAAGAAUCGUCUUUAAGAAACAUGUGAAUCUAUCAGCUAAGACUUGUACUGGUGCAAAUUCAGGAUUUUUUUUGUUUUUUUUGUUUUUUUUUCUUCUGAUUUUGAAGCCAAGUGCAGGUUUGAAAUUCUGCUAUUUGAACAUGUAUGAAUUGUACAAUGAAUAUUGGUUCUUGAAUAAAUGUCCAUUUGAAUUUA